rnacentral:rRNA from 1 species
AGGGCACCACCAGGAGUGGAGCCUGCGGCUUAAUUUGACUCAACACGGGAAAACUCACCCGGCCCGGACACUGGAAGGAUUGACAGAUUGAGAGCUCUUUCUUGAUUCAGUGGGUGGKGGUGCAUGGCCGUUCUUAGUUGGUGGAGUGAUUUGUCUGGUUAAUUCCGAUAACGAACGAGACUCUAGCCUACUAAAUAGAUCGUCGGCUUACAAACGCCGGCGAGACUUCUUAGAGGGACAGGCGGUGAUUCAACCGCACGAAACAGAGCAAUAACAGGUCUGUGAUGCCCUUAGAUGUCCGGGGCCGCACGCGCGCUACACUGAAGUGAUCAGCGUGCUUUUUCAACCUACUCUGUCAAGAGUGGGGAACCCAAUGAACCUUCUUCGUGAUUGGGAUAGGGGAUUGUAAUUGUUCCCCUUGAACGAGGAAUUCCCAGUAAGCGCGAGUCAUAAGCUCGCGUUGAUUACGUCCCUGCCCUUUGUACACACCGCCCGUCGCUACUACCGAUUGAAUGUUUU